CUAAUACUCCCUCCGUUCGGAAUUACUUGUCUCGGAAAUGGAUGUAUCUAGAACUAAAAUAUAUCUAGAUACAUCCAUUUCUACGACAAGUAAUUCCGAACUGAGGGAGUACAUG
rnacentral:pre_miRNA from 1 species